GAUGAACGCUGGCGGCGUGCCUAAUACAUGCAAGUCGAGCGAACAGACGAGGAGCUUGCUCCUCUGACGUUAGCGGCGGACGGGUGAGUAACACGUGGAUAACCUACCUAUAAGACUGGGAUAACUUCGGGAAACCGGAGCUUAUACCGGAUAAUAUAUUGAACCGCAUGGUUCAAUAGUGAAAGACGGUUUUGCUGUCACUUAUAGAUGGAUCCGCGCCGCAUUAGCUAGUUGGUAAGGUAACGGCUUACCAAGGCAACGAUGCGUAGCCGACCUGAGAGGGUGAUCGGCCACACUGGAACUGAGACACGGUCCAGACUCCUACGGGAGGCAGCAGUAGGGAAUCUUCCGCAAUGGGCGAAAGCCUGACGGAGCAACGCCGCGUGAGUGAUGAAGGUCUUCGGAUCGUAAAACUCUGUUAUUAGGGAAGAACAAAUGUGGAAGUAACUAUGCACGUCUUGACGGUACCUAAUCAGAAAGCCACGGCUAACUACGUG
rnacentral:rRNA from 1 species